UGCGAGACACUUCAAAGAAGUGGAGGAGAGGUAAAUGUGUUUUAAUCUCAUGAUUCUAAUAAUACUACAGAUAUCUGGAAUAUACAUUCAAAGAUAAUUCUAACAAAGAUAAUGUUUAAUGUAGCCUUAGAAAUUAAGCUUUUUUAAACUCGAGAACAAAUACUAAUAAGUCAAAGUCAUUAAGGAGUGUUGCAGUCAAUGUGUUCAGGUUUUAAUUUGGCAUUGUGUCUUCAUCAGGCAAUGUAUUGUCCAUAUUGUGGAAUCCAGCUAGUGGGGCAAAUUGGAGUUUUUUGUGGGUCCUGUGGAACUAACAUUCAAGUUUUAGCACCUUUUAUAGAGAAUGGCCCAGUCUCAGUCACAGACAUCAUCAAUAAGUAUUUCUCUGAGGGCCAUACAUAUGAAGUGAUCCUGGACUUUCUUGAAAACAAGCAUAAUAUUUGUAUGAGUCUGAGAACAUUAAAGAAGAGGCUAAAAGAUGCUGGAAUGACUAGAAGGACUGACUUUACUCCCACUGACAUUGUCAUUUCCACUGUUACACAAGAACUGAGAGGCUCAGGUCAGCUUCUGGGUUACAGAUCCAUGUGUCAGACACUGCGACAAAAGUAUAAUCUGACAGUUAAAAGAAAUGAUGUAAUGCACAUACUCUCAAGACUAGAUCCAUAUGGUGUUAAGCGUCGCUGUAAACGCCGGUUUGUUCGAAGAGGAUAUUUUUCAGAAGGACCAAAUCAAGUGUGGCAUGUGGAUGGAUAUGAUAAGCUGAAACCCUUUGGUGUUGCUAUUAGUGCAUGUGUCGAUGGAUUUUCAAGGAAAGUUAUGUGGCUCAACUGUGGCAGCUCAAAUAAUGACCCAGGUGUUAUUGCAAAAUAUUAUAUGGAGUGCGUGACACGGUUUGGUCAACUUCCAGCAUGCCUUCGUACAGACUGUGGCACAGAAAAUGGCACAAUGGCAGCCAUUCACUGUGCUUUAAGAUCAGACCAUGGAGAUGAACUUGCAGGAGCCCACAGUCAUAUGUAUGGCACCUCAACUACAAAUCAACGGAUUGAAAGUUGGUGGUCUUCGUUCAGAAAGCAAAGGUACAUGGCUUUUAAAAUAUAUUCUGAAACUAAAAUUGAAUGGUUCUGA
rnacentral:lncRNA from 1 species